UAGGGAAUCUUCCACAAUGGACGCAAGUCUGAUGGAGCAACGCCGCGUGAGUGAAGAAGGUUUUCGGACCGUAAAGCUCUGUUGUUGGUGAAGAAGGAUAGAGGUAGUAACUGGCCUUUAUUUGACGGUAAUCAACCAGAAAGUCACGGCUAACUACGUGCCAGCAGCCGCGGUAAUCGUAGGUGGCAAGCGUUGUCCGGAUUUAUUGGGCGUAAAGCGAGCGCAGGCGGAAGAA
rnacentral:rRNA from 1 species